rnacentral:rRNA from 1 species
UACAGAGGGGGCAAGCGUUGUUCGGAAUUACUGGGCGUAAAGGGCGCGUAGGCGGCCUGUUAAGUCGAACGUGAAAUCCCCGGGCCCAACCCGGGAACUGCGUCCGAUACUGGCAGGCUUGAAUCCGGGAGAGGGAUGCGGAAUUCCAGGUGUAGCGGUGAAAUGCGUAGAUAUCUGGAGGAAUACCGGUGGCGAAGGCGGCAUCCUGGACCGACAUUGACGCUGAGGAGCGAAAGCUAGGGGAGCAAACGGG